GACGAACGCUGGCGGCGUGCCUAAUACAUGCAAGUCGAACGAGAGCGACCGGUGCUUGCACUGGUCAAUCUAGUGGCGAACGGGUGAGUAACACGUGGGUAACCUGCCCAUCAGAGGGGGAUAACAUCCGGAAACGGAUGCUAAAACCGCAUAGGUCUUCGAGCCGCAUGGCUUGAAGAGGAAAAGAGGCGCAAGCUUCUGCUGAUGGAUGGACCCGCGGUGCAUUAGCUAGUUGGUGAGGUAACGGCUCACCAAGGCCGUAAUGCAUAGCCGACCUGAGAGGGUGAUCGGCCACAUUGGGACUGAGCAACGGCCCAAACUCCUACGGGAGGCAGCAGUAGGGAAUCUUCCGCAAUGGACGCAAGUCUGACGGAGCAACGCCGCGUGAGUGAAGAAGGUUUUCGGAUCGUAAAACUCUGUUGUUAGAGAAGAACAAGUGCUAGAGUAACUGUUAGCGACUUGACGGUAUCUAACCAGAAAGCCACGGCUAACUACGUG
rnacentral:rRNA from 1 species